UACGUAGGUGGCAAGCGUUAUCCGGAUUUACUGGGUGUAAAGGGCGUGUAGGCGGGAGUGCAAGUCAGAUGUGAAAACCACGGGCUCAACCUGUGGCCUGCAUUUGAAACUGUACUUCUUGAGUACUGGUGAGGCAGACGGAAUUCCUAGUGUAGCGGUGAAAUGCGUAGAUAUUAGGAGGAACACCAGUGGCGAAGGCGGUCUGCUGGACAGCAACUGACGCCGAGGCGCGAAAGCGUGGGGAGCAAACAGG
rnacentral:rRNA from 1 species